UAAAUAUAGGUAGAGGUAUUGCUGAGAGAAGAAAUUGGAAUGUAAUGAAAAUGUUAUGGGAGAAAAAGCACUUCAGUGUAAAACUGUGGACUCAUCACAACCAUCUGUUCUCUAAUCCGUAAAUAUUUAGUGCUAUCCAGAAGAUUGCUCUAUAGUGUUACAUCUCUGUUUCUACCCAUGUGCAGUACUGUUUCCAUUUAAGAUCUACUUUAGCUCAAGUCAGAACAAUCUAUACAUUCUGUAUGAUUCUAAUUUGCAGGUAUCUAUGUCUUCUUCUGAAGCCUGUUUUAGAUUUUAAUAUGCAGAUUUCCAUCCGAUUCAUUAAAACACUUUACAUCUUAUCCUUGAUUUUUCAGGUAGUUACACGUAGGAAUAAAGAAGAUACUGUUCAAAGUUACUCAGAUAAAUAGUGGCAGACCAUGAUGUACAACACAUCUGCAUUAUGACUUUACUGCUGUCAACUGUAUCACUCUACUAAUAAGAUGUGUUUAGCACAAAUCCAGGGAGUUGUCAUUUGUGACUGCACCUUCAUCUUUCAAUUAUUUUAAAUGUU